rnacentral:rRNA from 1 species
AACGAACGCUGGCGGCAGGCCUAACACAUGCAAGUCGAACGGUCGCCUUCGGAUGUUAGUGGCGCACGGGUGCGUAACGCGUGGGAACGUGCCCUUUGGUUCGGAAUAACAGCUGGAAACUGCGGGUAAUACCGGAUGUUAUCGCUGGGUCAAAGAUUUAUCGCCAAAGGAUGGGCCCGCGUUGGAUUAGGUAGUUGGUGGGGUAAAGGCCUACCAAGCCGACGAUCCAUAGCUGGUCUGAGAGGAUGAUCAGCCACACUGGGACUGAGACACGGCCCAGACUCCUACGGGAGGCAGCAGUGGGGAAUAUUGGACAAUGGGCGAAAGCCUGAUCUAGCCAUGCCGCGUGAGUGAUGAAGGCCUUAGGGUUGUAAAGCUCUUUCACCCGGGAAGAUAAUGACGGUACCCGGAGAAUAAGCCCCGGCUAACUCCGUG